CCUUCGCUCCUCCUCUCUUCCUCCGUCAUUCUUAGGGUUUAUGUGCUAAUUUUGGAGGUAUUCUUGGCCUUGUUCUUGGACCAAAGAGUUUGAUUAUCUCUUGAGUCAAGGAGGUGAAACUUUAAGUAAAGGGAAAGAGCCGGUGGAGAAAAAACACCGGAGGUCUCUAGUACGCCAAGUUUGUGAUAGCAUAGCGUAAGGGUGGAGGCGUGAAGUGCUUGUCAAGAGAUGUGUCUGUGUUAACAUUUUGAGUUAUGUAUGUUGUUUAUUCCUUGGCAUGUAUUAUCAGGGAUCCAGUAUGCGUUAUCGAACCCUAUUAUAUAUUU